rnacentral:rRNA from 1 species
GACAGAGGGUGCAAACGUUGUUCGGAAUUACUGGGCGUAAAGCGCGUGUAGGCUGCUCCGCAAGUCGGAUGUGAAAGCCCUGGGCUCAACCUAGGAAGUGCAUUCGAUACUGCGGAGCUGGAGCCUAGAGAGGAAGGCGGAAUUCUCGGUGUAGAGGUGAAAUUCGUAGAUAUCGAGAGGAACACCGGUGGCGAAGGCGGCCUUCUGGACAGUGACUGACGCUGAGACGCGAAAGCGUGGGGAGCAAACAGG